rnacentral:rRNA from 1 species
GGCUCAGGAUGAACGCUGGCGGCGUGCUUAACACAUGCAAGUUGAACGAACCUUCGGGUUAGUGGCGGACGGGUGAGUAACGCGUGGGAAUCUGCCCUCAGGAGGGGGAUAACGGCUGGAAACGGCCGCUAAUACCCCAUAUGCCGAGAGGUGAAAUGAAUUUCGCCUGAGGAUGAGCCCGCGUCUGAUUAGCUAGUUGGUGGGGUAAAGGCCCACCAAGGCGACGAUCAGUAGCUGGUCUGAGAGGAUGAUCAGCCACACUGGGACUGAGACACGGCCCAGACUCCUACGGGAGGCAGCAGUGGGGAAUUUUCCGCAAUGGGCGAAAGCCUGACGGAGCAACGCCGCGUGAGGGAUGAAGGCCUCUGGGCUGUAAACCUCUUUUCUCAAGGAAGAAGACAUGACGGUACUUGAGGAAUAAGCCACGGCUAAUUCCGUGCCAGCAGCCGCGGUAAUACGGGAGUGGCAAGCGUUAUCCGGAAUUAUUGGGCGUAAAGCGUCCGCAGGCGGCCUUGUAAGUCUGUCGUUAAAGCGUGGAGCUUAACUCCAUUUAAGCGAUGGAAACUACAAGGCUUGAGUGUGGUAGGGGCAGAGGGAAUUCCCGGUGUAGCGGUGAAAUGCGUAGAUAUCGGGAAGAACACCAGUGGCGAAGGCGCUCUGCUGGGCCAUAACUGACGCUCAUGGACGAAAGCCAGGGGAGCGAAAGGGAUUAGAUACCCCUGUAGUCCUGGCCGUAAACGAUGAACACUAGGUGUCGGGGGAAUCGACCCCCUCGGUGUCGUAGCCAACGCGUUAAGUGUUCCGCCUGGGGAGUACGCACGCAAGUGUGAA